UUUCCCAAAUUUAAAACCCUUCAUUCUCAAAUCGUUCUUUGAAGAAGUCAUCUCUAAUCCAACCAUCUUCCGGCCCCGUCACCACCAGCACCUCCUCGUGGCCGUCUGUUCACUCUGGUGCUGCCAUUACCGAACAAUGAAACAUCCUCUGCCUCAACCUUUUCAAUUUGUGUCCGUCAUCUUCGAACUGCCACAAUCUCUUCAAAGUUCAAACAGUAGUCGUCACUCUUCAAAGUUUAAAUCGUGGUCGUCACCUCCUUUGCCGGUAUGCAUUCAAAUGUCACAGAAAAUCAGAGGCUGGAAGGGGCAUAGUCUAUCCCGUCACUGCCAUUGCAUUCCAUCCUAUAAAUAAAGGAUUCGACCAUUGUUCAAGCAACAAAGAAUAUUUUCAAAGGUGAAGGAUUACCGGUUGGUUGUUUAUGCUUGUACAGAAAAUCAUGUUAUAUUUAUUAUGAUGGUAUUUACAGUACUAGUUUUGACUAAGGGUUGUAAUUCCAUACUUGUAAAUUGUACAAACAUGAUCGAAAAUGUACGAAUAUUACAAAGUGUAUUAAUAAAAGAAAUUGUUUUGCUUAAAGUAUUACUAUA